AUUGAACGCUAGCGGGAUGCUUUACACAUGCAAGUCGAACGGCAGCGCGGACUUCGGUCUGGCGGCGAGUGGCGAACGGGUGAGUAAUGUAUCGGAACGUGCCCAGUAGCGGGGGAUAACUACGCGAAAGCGUAGCUAAUACCGCAUACGCCCUACGGGGGAAAGCAGGGGAUCGUAAGACCUUGCACUAUUGGAGCGGCCGAUAUCGGAUUAGCUAGUUGGUGAGGUAACGGCUCACCAAGGCGACGAUCCGUAGCUGGUUUGAGAGGACGACCAGCCACACUGGGACUGAGACACGGCCCAGACUCCUACGGGAGGCAGCAGUGGGGAAUUUUGGACAGAGGGGGCAACCCUGAUCCAGCCAUCCCGCGUGUGCGAUGAAGGCCUUCGGGUUGUAAAGCACUUUUGGCAGGAAAGAAACGUCGCGGGCUAAUACCCCGUGGAACUGACGGUACCUGCAGAAUAAGCACCGGCUAACUACGUG
rnacentral:rRNA from 1 species